CAGAUACCUUCCAGAAUUCAUCACCCUGUUAGUCUUCAAAUACUGAGCAGGACUGCAAUUCCCAUACUUCACUCCCACAAACAAGAGGCUACUACACCUGUGAUCUUCAAAUGUCGAUGCGCUAUGGACAAUUUUCUUGCAGAGAUUAAAAUUAGAAGCUAUUCAACAUUAUGGAACCGUGCUCGCAAGUUGCUAACUCCUUUGUUUAUUUAUGUGUUUUACUUCCGGUUGUUUUGGGUGCUUCCCAAGUGGAUCUAUGUGGUUUCUUUAUUAUCGAUUUUCAAGGUUACACCCUUUGGAAAAUUAUCGAAAAGGAUGGAACCAGAAAACUUUGCAUUGGAUGAUUUGGUAGGUGUUGAGGAUGCCAAGGCUCUAUUU